AUGAGAGAGAUUGCCCAAGUUUUCAAGAUUGAUCUACGCUUCCAGAGCCAUGCAGUGCUUGCUUUACAGGAGGCGGCAGAAACAUACCUCGUGGGACUGUUUGAGGACACCAAUCUUUGUGCCGUCCAUGCGAAGCGUGUGACCAUAAUGUCCAAAGAUGUUCAUUUGGCUAGAAGGAUCCGUGGUGAGAGGCUGUAA
rnacentral:rRNA from 1 species